rnacentral:rRNA from 1 species
ACGAAGUCUGAUGCAGCAACGCCGCGUGGAGGAUGACACAUUUCGGUGCGUAAACUCCUUUUAUAUAAGAAGAUAAUGACGGUAUUAUAUGAAUAAGCACCGGCUAACUCCGUGCCAGCAGCCGCGGUAAUA